CCUAGGUUUCUUGUGUGCUUG
rnacentral:siRNA from 1 species